rnacentral:rRNA from 1 species
AUUGAACGCUGGCGGCAGGCCUAACACAUGCAAGUCGAGCGGAUGAAGGGAGCUUGCUCCUGGAUUCAGCGGCGGACGGGUGAGUAAUGCCUAGGAAUCUGCCUGGUAGUGGGGGAUAACGUCCGGAAACGGGCGCUAAUACUGCAUACGUCCUGAGGGAGAAAGUGGGGGAUCUUCGGACCUCACGCUAUCAGAUGAGCCUAGGUCGGAUUAGCUAGUUGGUGGGGUAAAGGCCUACCAAGGCGACGAUCUGUAACUGGUCUGAGAGGAUGAUCAGUCACACUGGAACUGAGACACGGUCCAGACUCCUACGGGAGGCAGCAGUGGGGAAUAUUGGACAAUGGGCGAAAGCCUGAUCCAGCCAUGCCGCGUGUGUGAAGAAGGUCUUCGGAUUGUAAAGCACUUUAAGUUGGGAGGAAGGGCAGUAAGUUAAUACCUUGCUGUUUUGACGGUACCAACAGAAUAAGCACCGGCUAACUUCGUG